rnacentral:rRNA from 1 species
GGUUGACCUCGGUACAGGUAGGAAGACCCGCUGAA